AGCGAUGGCCAUGGCGGCGGCGGCGGCGGUGCUUGCGGUGUCCUCCCGCUGCUACUUCGGCCUCGCCACCAUUCAGUUCAUGUCUCACGCCCCAUCGUUAUCUUCACUUUCGCUCUACUGUCUCCAAGCCAUUUUUAUACCAGGGGAAUUUAUCCCCCAGUCUAGCCUGAAAAGCACAAAAUUGAUGGAGCGGCGGCUGAACAAGAAGGGCGGGGACGACGGAGUGGAGAAGAAAAGCUGUUUUGAGUUCUAAAAUGCGCCUACCUACCAAGUGGCUUUUUGGUGAUCAGAUCUAUGUUACCCAGUAAUGCUGCAUGUGUACAGAACCUGUUCAAUGCCGAAUAGAAGUGGUGAUAGCAGACAUCUCUGUCUUGCUCCUGAUUUUUUGAAGGAAGUGCAUACAUGCAAGUUUUGGUCAUGAAAAGAAAGAUGUUUGCUAUAGUUUUUUUUGUUUGUUUUUGUUUUUGUUUUUUGUCUUUUUGCCAUUUCUUGGGCCACUACCAUGGCAUAUGGAGAUUCCCAGGCUUGGGGUCGAAUUGGAGCUGUAGGCGCUGGCCUACGCCAGAGCCACAGCAACACGGGAUCCAAGCCUUGUCUGCACCCUACCCCACAGCUCCCGGCAAUGCUGGAUCCCCAAGCCACUGAGCAAGGCCAGGGAUCGAACCCGCAACCUCAUGGUUCCUAGUUGGAUUCAUUAACCACUGCGCCAUGACGGGAACUCCUGCUAUAGUUUUUUUAAAUGUACAUUUCAUCAAGAUAAAAAUAAAGUCUCCUUCUAGUUUCGUUUUGCAAAAGGCGUGUUGGGAUUUUAUUUGUUUAAUAUUUAUAAAUGCACAUUGUUUAGAGCAGUGAUUAGAAAACUACAGCUCAAUCCAAAUCAAGUCUAUUUUUACACAGCCCAUAAACUAUGAGUGAUUUUUUUCAUUUUUCAAAUGAAAAGAAAAAAUAUUUUAUGACAACUGAAAUUACAUAAAAUUCAAAUUUCAGUGUCUAUUAAUAAAGUUUUAUUGGAAUGCGGCAAUAUCCGUUUGUUUAUGGAUGGUCUAUGGUGCUUGUGCACCACAAAGUCAUCGUUAAGUAGUUGCAACAGAGACCAUAUGGCCUGCACAGCCUGGAAUAUUUACUAUCUAGCCCUUUAUAGAAAAGAUUUGCCAGCCCGUGGUCUAGAAUCACACAGUUAUAUACAAUUUGUUAUGAAAAACAGCAAAACCGCACUUACCUCUUCCCUCAUUAUCCCAUCCCCAAAGGCAACCACUUCUAUCUCUUUUAGUUGAUUAUUUUAGUAUUUACUUCUGUUUCUCUCAAUAGCAUAACUACAGUAUAACUUCUUUAAUCUUUGACUUUGGGAACUAUAUAUUAUCUUUCCACUAUGGGAGAUGAGGAUAUAACUAUCUUCUUCACUUCACCCCACCAUCCAUAUCUCUGUCAUCCAUCUUUUUCUCCAAUAUUAUAUAUAUUAUGUAAACUAUAUAAUAAUUUGGGUAGGUAAAUAUUCUUUGUUAUGACUCUGUUAAUGCAACUCAUAGUUGAGCCAUGUAGUAGACUUUGGUUUCUUUUCUAAUGCAAAGCUUUUUAUUUUUCCUGGCAUAAUUAUCUUUUUUUUUUUUUUAAAUGUUGUUUCCUUAGUUUUGUUUUUACCAAUUCAACCUGAAAGUCUUCACCAAUUGUCUAAAUUUCUUCCCAGGAUGUUCAGAUGCAUUGGCAGCUUCACUAAUCUCACCAUCCUGAAGAAGUUGACUAGAGCUUUCUAGCUCACUGCCAUCUGGACAUUUUUAUUGAGGCCAUCAGGAGUCCGAGAUGAAUCUCACUGAGCUAAAACCAAGGUGCUGCCAGAGCUGGUUCCUCCUGGAGACACUGAGUGCAGAAUCUACUUUCCUGCCCUUUUUGGCUUCCAUGCAUUAUUUCCAUCUCUAGCUACUGCCAUCAUCUGUACUACUGACACCGAUUCUAUUGACUUUCUCUCAUAAGCACCUUUAUAAUUACACCGGGUCCAUCCAGAUAAUCCAGCAUGAUUUCCCUUUCUCAAGAGCCUUAAGCUUUAACUUAAUCACAUCUACAAGGUCCCUUUGAAUGAGCAAGAUAACGUAAUCAUAGGGUUGGGGAUUAGGACAUAGACAUAUGUUGGAGUCUCUUAUUCAGCUCUAUACAUAUAGGACAUCUUUCCUGGUAAUUCCAAUAUCUAGAUUUUUCUGUAUGUCUCUAUUCUAGUUUGGUGUCUUUGGUUUUUUUGUUUUUUUGUUUUUUUCCCCUCUUGGUUUUCCACCGUUUGGUCUUGUUCCUUGAUAAGCUUGAUACAUUUUUUUUAGUGCACCCUGGUCUUAAGCUUGAAAAACUAUAAAGAUAAGUUAAGAAUCUGCAUGGUGUUAUCUUCCUCCAGAGAGUAUUAGAGGUUAUUAGAGUAGGGGCAGAUUACUUUAUGCCAGAAUAGGACCAUUCCAAUUCCAAACUGAGUUUCUGUCUUUAUGAUGGCUGAUCGGUUUCUGAAUUAUCUGUUUCUGAACCAUCUUAAUCCUGGAAUGUAACUCCACAGGGACACUUGACAAGUCCAGCCCAAUUGCUGCCCAGCUUUUCAGUCUCACAGCUACUGCUUUCUGCCACUCAGCCUCUCAGAUUCUUAGCUGCCACUUACAAAUCAGAAAAUGCCUCAGGGUUCAUCUCUCAACUUUUUCUCCUGAAUCUUGGCUUCUCAAAAAGAUUUGAUGCCUUUUCAAAAAGAUUUUUAGCAGAGUUCUUGUGUGACUCAGUGGCUUAAGGACCUGGCAUUGUUAUGGUUAUGUCUCAGGUCGCUGCUUUGCUACUGAGGCACAGCGUUCUGUCCAUGGCCUGGGAACUUCUGCAUGUUGUGAGUACAGCCAAAAAAAAAAAAAAAAA
rnacentral:lncRNA from 1 species